rnacentral:rRNA from 1 species
UCGACGGAGAGUUUGAUCCUGGCUCAGGACGAACGCUGGCGGCGUGCCUAAUACAUGCAAGUCGAACGAGGCCGACCUUCGGGUCAUAUGGUCAAGUGGCGAACGGGUGAGUAACACGUGAGAAACCUGCCCCAAAGAUCGGGAUAACCCGGGGAAACCCGGACUAAUACCGAAUACCCCCAUCGGAUCACAUGUUCUGAUGAGGAAAUGCUUUUGUGCUUUGGGAGGGUCUCGCGGCCUAUCAGCUAGUUGGUGAGGUAACGGCUCACCAAGGCAUCGACGGGUAGCUGGUCUGAGAGGACGAUCAGCCACACUGGGACUGAGACACGGCCCAGACUCCUACGGGAGGCAGCAGUGGGGAAUAUUGGACAAUGGGCGAAAGCCUGAUCCAGCAACGCCGCGUGGAGGAUGAAUGCCUUCGGGUUGUAAA